CGUGUAGGCGGUUACGCAAGUCUGGUGUGAAAUACCUCGGCUCAACCGAGGGGAUGCGCUGGAAACUGUGUGACUAGAGUGAUGGAGGGGGAACUGGAAUUCCUGGUGUAGGGGUGAAAUCUGUAGAUAUCAGGAAGAACACCGGUGGCGAAGGCGAGUUCCUGGCCAUAUACUGACGCUGAGGCGCGAAAGCGUGGGGAGCGAACAGGAUUAGAUACCCUGGUAGUCC
rnacentral:rRNA from 1 species